CCUACGGGGGGCAGCAGUGGGGAAUAUUGGACAAUGGGGGGAACCCUGAUCCAGCGACGCCGCGUGAGUGAAGAAGUAUUUCGGUAUGUAAAGCUCUAUCAGCAGGGAAGAAAGAAAUGACGGUACCUGACUAAGAAGCCCCGGCUACCUACGUGCCAGCAGCCGCGGUAAUACGUAGGGGGCAAGCGGUAUCCGGAUUUACUGGGUGAAAAGGGAGCGUAGACGGCGAUGCAAGUCUGAGGUGAAAGGCGGGGGCCAAACCCGCGGAUUGCUUUGGAAACUGUAGGGCUGGAGUGCAGGAAGGGGGAGUGGAAUUCCUGGUGUAGCGGUGAA
rnacentral:rRNA from 1 species